rnacentral:tRNA from 1 species
UUAUGAUUGUGGUUCAGUGGUAGAGCAUUUGCCUAGCAUGUGUGAGGCACUGGGUUCGAUCCUCAGCACCACAUAAA